rnacentral:rRNA from 1 species
AUACGUAGGUGGCAAGCGUUGUCCGGAAUUACUGGGCGUAAAGGGCGUGUAGGCGGGGGGACAAGUCAGAUGUGAAAUACCGCGGCUUAACUGCGGGGGUGCAUCUGAAACUGUUCUUCUUGAGUGUCGGAGAGGAAAGUGGAAUUCCCAGUGUAGCGGUGAAAUGCGUAGAGAUUGGGAGGAACACCAGUGGCGAAGGCGGCUUUCUGGACGAUAACUGACGCUGAGGCGCGAAAGCGUGGGGAGCAAACAGGAUUAGAUACCCUGGUAGUCCACGCUGUAAACGAUGGAUACUAGGUGUAGGAGGUAUCGACCCCUUCUGUGCCGGAGUUAACACAAUAAGUAUCCCGCCUGGGGAGUACGGCCGCAAGGCUGAA